AGUGAACGCUGGCGGUAGGCCUAACACAUGCAAGUCGAACGGCAGCACAGUAAGAGCUUGCUCUUACGGGUGGCGAGUGGCGGACGGGUGAGGAAUACAUAGGAAUCUACUUUUUCGUGGGGGAUAACGUAGGGAAACUUACGCUAAUACCGCAUACGACCUACGGGUGAAAGCAGGGGAUCUUCGGACCUUGCGCGAUAGAAUGAGCCGAUGUCGGAUUAGCUAGUUGGCGGGGUAAAGGCACACCAAGGCGACGAUCCGUAGCUGGUCUGAGAGGAUGAUCAGCCACACUGGAACUGAGACACGGUCCAGACUCCUACGGGAGGCAGCAGUGGGGAAUAUUGGACAAUGGGCGCAAGCCUGAUCCAGCCAUACCGCGUGGGUGAAGAAGGCCUUCGGGUUGUAAAGCCCUUUUGUUGGGAAAGAAAAGCAGCAGGUUAAUACCCGGCUGUUCUGACGGUACCCAAAGAAUAAGCACCGGCUAACUUCGUG
rnacentral:rRNA from 1 species